UUUGUACUCCCUCCGUUCGGAAUUACUUGUCGCAAAAAUGGAUGUAUCUAGACGUAUUUUAGUUCUAGAUACAUCCAUUUUUGAGACAAGUAAUUCCGAACGGAGGGAGUACUAG
rnacentral:pre_miRNA from 1 species